rnacentral:misc_RNA from 1 species
CUCAAGCUUGGCUUGGUGUUGGACUUUUUCUACGGGCCUCCGGGCCCGGGUCCCAAAGAUAAUGACAGGCUUGACGGAAGCUCGGUACAAUGAGUCUUGCACAAGGCACGUAUCGCAGUUUGUUUCUGUCCGGCUUGGUCUUAACCACAAAUUUUUCUAAGGUUGACCUCGGAUCAGGUAGGAAUACCCGCUGAACUUAA